rnacentral:rRNA from 1 species
UACGUAGGGGGCAAGCGUUGUCCGGAAUUAUUGGGCGUAAAGCGCGCGCAGGCGGUUUUGUAAGUCUGGUGUUUAAUCUCGGGGCUCAACCCCGAUUCGCAUUGGAAACUGCAAGGCUUGAGUGCAGAAGAGGAAAGUGGAAUUCCACGUGUAGCGGUGAAAUGCGUAGAGAUGUGGAGGAACACCGAUGGCGAAGGCAGCCCCCUGGGCUAACACUGACGCUCAUGCACGAAAGCGUGGGGAGCAAACAGG